CGAAGGCCAAGCUGGGUGUUCUGGUUGAGCAGGAUUGCAAGGCCAAGAACCAUGCAGGGAUAUCCUCUUGGGCUGGCAGGUGUCCAGUAGUGGCUAGGUCCCUUUGGGUCACAAAGGACACGACGACAGCCUACAGCCUGGCUCUCAUCUCCACACUGCUGAGCCACACUGAGAGUUACAGUUUUUACACUUUACUGCUCGUUUGUGAGAGCCUAGCUAAAAGCCGCCUUCAAACCCUGAAAGCAUGCAGCUUCUUGCAGCAGCCCCAGGACAUGCGAUGUUGGUCUUCAAGUGCCCAAAAGAGAGCACAUGAGCCUGGUGGGUCGUUGUGAUGCUCUCUGCCAGGGGAGACAGCACAGCAGAGAGCAUCUCCUGCCACCUCACCCUGCUGGCUGCACAGCUUGAAAGAAUCUGGUUGCUGUUUUCAUACACUGCAGCAGAGAAGCUGUUACUUUGUUCUGUCUGCUGCUUAGAAAAACACACCAAGGUCAAACAAAGAAUAUUACUUGGAGGCUCUUCCCAGCAGCAUCAGGGUUUGGGUGCCAAACAGAGGUUACACCAGCAGGAAAAACGCUUCUGCCUCUGACGUCUGUAUGGUGACCCCGAACAGCCAGCACAGGGUGAGUUUGUGCUUAGCCCGAGGAUUGUUUGCAAAAUGAUCAAUGACGCACACAGAUGGGCUCUUGCUUGCCUUGCUGCACACUGCAAAUAUUGCUUUUAACAAUGAGAUUUUGCUGAGCAGUUCUGAAUGCACCCAAACUGGAAUGCCCAAGAUAAAACUGCAAAUGGGAAGUGACAAGAUCCCCAGCCACCUUCCAAGAGGGACUGAGUGGUCAGCCUGCUGCCUUGGGCUGAGCCUGCGGGGCUAUUUCAGCAGGCUGAAGAACAGAUGCAACGAAUGUCACCUACCCUCUGCUGCUGCUGCUCUGAAGCUCAGCACCAUGUGUAAGCUGAAAAUCCUUUUCCACUCUGUCUCUGGAGCAAUCCUGGUUCUUACAGUUGGAAUUCUUUCAAUUUCCAAACAAGAUCUAAUCAGAGCUUCUGCAGGGGUCAAAGUCAAUAACAAUAGACAAGUGCCAGUUUCACUUGCAGAAUCUCUAAUUACUUUUACUAAUUGUCAGUUGGCUGUUACAGUGUGAUUGCUCCAAGUCUCCUAACCAAGCGCAACUGAGUAAUGAGGUGAGAAGAGCUUAGGAGAGAAAGGCCAGUGGGCUUAUUCCCUGCUUUGAGGUUAGGUGGACAAUGGUGGCCAGAUUCUGCUCCCAGUUACUCUGGUGUGAAUCUCAGCAGAGUUGCUCUGGAUUUAUACCUAUGUAGCUCAGAAAACAACCUGUCCUGUCCCAGCUUUUCUUCUUUAGUGAUCACUCUUCUAAAUCCUGGGAUCUGCUUCUCCCCAUGAGCUCCUGCCUUCCCCAAGCAGCUGGUUUGGCAAGUGCCAGGCUCUGAGGGUUUCCACAUGGCUUUGCAGAUGCUUUCAGUUGCAAGCAAAGAGAAACUCAAGAGGCACAAUGCCUGUUGUGAGCACAGCCACUCAGCUAACAGGUCCUAACGGCCCUGCCUGGGUCCCAGAAAAACCUGUGGGUCAGCAGCACCACAGAAAUUACAGGGUAAUGUUCUGCAUUUAAAACGGAGGGGUUUUAAUCUUUGGCACCAGUGAAAGGCUGUUUUUCACAAAACUGAGUGAUAAAACUCUACAAGAAACACUCAUCCCCAAACUAUCUGUGUGGCUUUUGCACACAUCUGUUUCUCUCCUGUCCUCAAGAGAUGUCUAAAAUCUAAUUAACCAAUUAAUUUGCAAAUAUAUUCUAAUUUAUUCAAGGCAGAUUUUCUUAGUGUUAAAUUAUCUGACAGUGAACCAUACGCUGCACACAGGAACAGGACUUCAUUAAAAUACCAAAGGUUACACAAAUGGAAUAAAAAUUAUAUUUGUACUACAGUCAGCACAUACUUAUAUCUUCUAAUGAGAAAAUGUGUUUGUAUUUCCCUAUUUCUAAUUUGUUUUUGCAUGUUUGGUGUAAACCUGCGGAUAAUGCAUUAGCGAUACCAAGCUACCACACCUUGUGCUAAAACGUGAAUAUUGCAGGAGGCCCCCAUGUCUGCUGAACUUGUGAGACACUUUCAGUACAUAAAUAAACCACAGUGAAGGCUGGCAUGACUCAUCUCAUCCCAAAGGAUGCCCCGGUUCCUUCCCUACAGAAAGGGUAGAGUCACCGUGUGGAUUUGCCUCCCGCAGCAGGAAGCUCUUUGUUGGGAAAUCUCAAGUCAUCAUUGACAGCAAUUGUGCAGAAUCUGUCUGAAGGGAAAAAAAGAAAAGCUAAUACAUUGUUCUGGAUUGCUGUACUGAAAUGCUUUUUCCCCUCCCAACUCCAGUUGUGUGAGUACAAAUACAACAGCUGGUUCCAAUUCUGCCGGCUACUGGAGUGAUUGUAUCAUUCACUGUGGCAUGGCAUCAGUCACAGCCAUGCUCAACCUUCUUGCAAGUGCAGGGGAUGUGCUGCUGUGUUUGGCAAAAAGAGUCAACAACAACAGAAACACCCUCAUGAGUUACUAACUAUUUGAGUAUACAGAACAAACAAAAAUACUCUGAAAACACUGGGCCCAGAAUUACCUCUUGAAGACAUUAAUACCUAACAGCUGUUUUCUUUGCUUGACGAGCAACUUAGUAUUUUAUUACAGUUUAAUACUCUACAGUUCCACCACAGUCAAUUAAGACCAAGUUACUGUUGUUCAGGCAUACAUAUACAUAAGUAGGGCCGGUCCAAUGCUGGGAGAUGAGUUAAAUCUGUAACAUGACAGAAAAUGAGGGACUUCUCUCACACCACAGAACAGGUCAGUGGCUGAGCUAAGAGCAGUCUGGGCUCUCAACACUGCAAGCCUUCAGCUGUCAAGAUGCACCCAACGGGAUAUGUCCAACACGAUGCACAACCCAGCAUGAUGUUUGUAAUUAGCCACGACCAGUCAUUAACAGGGUGUCAGACUCUGCCUCAGCAGAAGCUUCUCUAGCAGCAUUAAGAAGGCACGAAAAACAUGAAAAGAGUGAGAUAAAUGAGUAGGGAAGGACCCUGAGAGCUUAGCAGUGCAACAAGUGACAGUGCUCAUGCAGCCUCAAAUGCACCCAACCAGAAUUUGAUCUGGAUCCAAAGGCAGCUAAGGAGAGUGAUCAGAACAGUGUCACAGUAAGUGCUGAAGCUCGGCAAGGACACCAGAGCCAGUCCGAUGAGGAGCACACAGUAACCAGCAAUGCAGAAAAGGCAAAAAAUGCAACAAUAAGAACAGCCAAUAAAAAGAAGAUGGAUUUAAAGUGCUAAAACUUUUUUUAAUUUUUCUUAAGCUGCAGCUUAUAAUUAAGCUGUGGAACUAAUUGUCUCUAAAUAUAAUUGAGGCCAGGAACUUCUGUGAGAUCAGAGAAAGAAUGAGCAGUAGAUAAUGAGAGUAUCACAGCUCUGUUAUAUUCAACACACACAGAGCCAGGGAUGCACAAACUCUGUGUUUCCAGGGUGCACCUCAAUCCAGAGGAAAGGAAGAAGCUGGCCCUGGGGAGAAUAAUUAUGUAGUCACCCCUUGUGGAUAUUAACAUCAAAAUACAUGUCAGUGGGUAAGGAAACGCCCUCCAGCUGUCCACACUGGAUACUGCUGCCUCCUUUAUCCCCAGGUCUUCCCUUUCAGAUAAACCCCAGAAGAGCAACUCCAAAGGGAAUGAAAGGAGUUGUCAGAGAACUGCAGAGCAGACACAGGACCUGAAACUAGAUUUAAUGUUUUGCCAGUUGUUUAGGUUUUCUUCCUGUACAGCUGUAUGUGGAACAUGCAAGCACAUGCUCAGCUCAGAGAGGUCAGCAGCACAUGGGCUGGCUUUGGCAGAGAGUGGAACUGUUUGAGUUUCUGAUCAUGGCUCGUUAUGUCAGCAGAACCUGUCCACACAGUCCCACAUGACCAAUUAUUCUUCCCAAAAGCUUUUAAAUUUAUUUAUCUUUGUUCAUAUCCAAACCAAAGAAUUAAGCUGUGCAGCUGUUUAUUUGCUCUCUGUGCUGGUCACAGGCAGAGCUGCCUCAAACCGCUCAGGACUGAAAAUGAAACUCUCGUGACCUCACAAACAAACCACUGAAAUGUCCUCAUAAAGGAUCUCAGUUAUUUCUAGCCUUUGCCUUGAACCUCUGUGGUUGAAGACCUUCGAACCCUCGAAGAACAAGAGAUUGUUGGGUUUUUCCCUAUUUAAAGGCUUUCUUGUCCUCUUCAGCAGAGUGGAAGCAAGGCAUUGCCUUGGCAAGACGUGGGAAAGACAGGCCCACCUGCAUGAGACUCCUGAGCUGGAGGCGAAAGAAUGAAGAGGAGAUUCAGAUGAGAGCUUCAGCUGAGCCAUUUCCCAAGCCUUCAUUGCCAUGCCCACCUUCUCCUAGGGCUGCAGGGAUCACUGGGCUGCAAACAGCAGUGACGAAGCAUCACUGAGGGUGGAUCCAAGCUCUGAGCUGACAGGACAAAACCCAUCUCCACUCUUGGGAUAGAGGAUGUAAGAGUCUGCAUGGCAGCCUAGGCUCAGAGGACACCACUGAGUCUGCUGCAGCCCCCAAGCCCAGACAGAUGAAUGAACACACAUGGAAAGACAGGGACAU